CAGUGAUUUUUUUUAAAUAUGGUGCCUCGGUGCAGAGCAUGGAGUAGGUUUGUGAGAGGAAUAAUGAUCAGAAAUUUGUUUUCAUUCCUACCCAGGUUAUACUGUGCUAUGUACCAAAUUAAGGCCUGUCAUCAGUGUGUUUCUGAUCUCAAUAAGUUGUCAUGUCUGAACAUCACAUCUUCAAAUUGCAUCUUUUCAUCAACACAAUAUAUUUCAUUGCAUCAUUAAUAACUUGGUCCACAAGAAGUAUUCAGUGGAAGCAUUUUAAAAAUGAACUUUUAGAUCAGGUUUUCUGGCUGAACUUUGAGGAUGGUUUUGUUGGUAGAUGUCAUUUGCAAAGUUUUUCUGUAAAAGUUUCUAGAUCUGUUUUGUUAUAUUUUAAGAUAUCAUGCUACAGACAUGUGGUAUUCUAGUUUGUGUAGUUCAUUGCCAUCAAUCUUCUUUCUCCUAGCUGAGUCUAGGACCUGUCUAGUUAUCAAUGGAAGAGGAUAGACAACUGUAUUUUACAGCUCCCAAGGGAGGAGUUUGCACUCUAUAAAGAGAGGCUGGAGACGCACAAGCUCUUUUCUUCAGAAUAGGGGAAACUGAGGGGGACCUGUUUGAGGUGUUUAAGAUUGAGGGGCCUGGGCAGGGAGGAUCAUUGAGGCCAGAAACAACGCACACUUUAAAAAGUACUUGGAUCAGACUUGAAGUGCCAUAACAUUCAAGGCAAUGGGCCAUGG